rnacentral:tRNA from 1 species
ACCCCCGUAGCUCAGUUGGAUAGAGCAUCGGAUUUCUAAUCCGAUGGUCGCAGGUUCGAUUCCUGCCGGGGGUG